rnacentral:rRNA from 1 species
AUGACCGGCAAAGAAACCAAGAAUGUGAAUGCUGACAGAAUAUUGGGGAAGAGUGCCUUAUUAAGCAACGGUAAAGGAAGUAAUGCAGAUAAGGUUCAGUAUAGUGACACAUUCUGUCUUGGUUUAGUGUUGGAGUUACUGGCCACUACCGCUUGCACAAGCUAUUCAAACUCACUGUUUGAAUCAGUUCGGUUUCUUGAGUCUCAACUACAAGCUGAAAGACAUCGAUCAGCCGUGUUGCGGCAAGAAGCGGAAGGACUGCGGAAGUCCCUGGAGCAUUCAGAUGCAUACUUUCUGGUGCAACAGCAAGCGUUGGAGGAUUUUAGCGCCAAACAGGACAAAGCUAAUCAGCUUGCUAAGCUUAUUGCCAGCAUGGUGGAUACCCAGGAUAACGUUUCUUGA